CUGGUUCAUAGGAAGCCUGAGGCAGAGGAAGACCUCAGAAGUCGCACUUAAGGACAUGGGAAAAAAACAACAACUAUUCUUUAGCAUAUAGAAACUCACAUAUAAAAUACAAGGAUAAGAACGAUGAUCGACUCUUAAUGCGACGGGGUAUAUAUUUUUAAGUUAAUACAUCCGCAUAGCUUUGAACAAUUUAUUUAUUUACAUUUCCAUCCCGCUCUAUACCCGAAGGUCUCAGGACGGGUCACACUAAAAUCCCUAUAAAUACAGAUAUAAUACAGCUAAAACAACAACAGCGCCNGCAUGGGGAAGGGAUGCUGUAAAGGGGCCCAUGAACUCAAAUGUAUUCAGUCUCUACUGGAAUAACAACGGCCCCGUUUUCGCCUUCUCAUCCUCCCCUGCAAAGGAGCAACCCAACCACCAUCCAUUAGCCAUUUACCUGGCCAGCAGCCACUCCACCCCAGCAGCAACAGGAAACGGGGGGAACCGGAUAUAAGCACCACCACCAACCCAGGGCAGACAAACACUAGUUCCGGUCACGUGAUAUCGCGCGCCGGGGAUGACUGCGGACCUCCAUGCGCUCUGCCUCCCAGCGUUCUCCCUUAGCUCCGCUCCGCUUGGACAACAGAGAAGUCGGACACUUCCUUUGGGAAAGCCGGGUAGCAAAAGGAGAGUGCUUAUUGGCUGACUAAGUCGCGGGGAAAUAAAGGACCACGCCCACUGGUUAAAGGAAUCCUGUGGGCGGGUUCAGAACGAACACAAAGCAAACACGUGAGAUUUCUCUAACGGCCAAGGGGGGGAGGAGGAACGAGGCAGAAGAGAGGAACGAACGGGGGCGGGAGGCUGAUUAGCUGAAGCAGCAGCGUCGAUUGGUUACCUUAGAGAAAUAGACCCAUUCAAUGGUUAAAGGGAAAGCGGAAGUGUGGAACUUGGACCGCCAGUGUGGCGGCAGGUACUGUGAAAAGGAAAGGACGGAGGCUGAGUGAAAGAUCAUGCAGGAAGACAGGGAACAGAUAAAUGUGGAAGUGCCCGGCAGCGGCCAGGGUAUUGCUAAAACAGUCAGGUCCCCUGAAGAAGCCUGGACACUGAUCUUGACAGUCAUUCUUCUUUGGAUGUUCCAGAAUUCCUUGAGAGAGGAUCAGCAACGUGUUCUCUUCUAGAAGUCAUUGAAUUAUGAUUUCAUUGGUCAUGUACUAUGUAAAAUAACAAUUUGUUUAAUCAGUAUAGUACAAUUCUUUGUUGUUUUUAUUCAUGUAUGCCUUCUGUGUCUUUGAAGAGAAAACCUUGGCAAAGAAGCUUUACAAUAAAGACUAAUACAGCAGAUCCUACA
rnacentral:lncRNA from 1 species